UGAGGAAUAUUGGUCAAUGGGCGGCAGCCUGAACCAGCCAUCCCGCGUGAAGGAAGAAUGCGCUAUGCGUUGUAAACUUCUUUUUCAGGGGGAUAAAAUUCUGUAUGUAUACAGGACUGAAGGUACCCUGAGAAUAAGCAUCGGCUAACUCCGUGCCAGCAGCCGCGGUAAUACGGAGGAUGCGAGCGUUAUCCGGAUUUAUUGGGUUUAAAGGGUGCGUAGGCGGAAUAAUAAGUCAGUGGUGAAACCCUGCAGCUUAACUGUAGACUUGCCAUUGAUACUGUUUUUCUUGAGUAUGGUCAAGGCAGGCGGAAUGUGUAAUGUAGCGGUGAAAUGCUUAGAUAUUACACAGAACACCGAUUGCGAAGGCAGCUUGCUGGGCCAUUACUGACGCUGAUGCACGAAAGCGUGGGGAUCGAACAGG
rnacentral:rRNA from 2 species